CCACCGCUGAAAGUAAACAGAUGGGGCAACGUAUAUCUACGGUAAAACAGAAAUUGAGAAGUUAUCUUUUGAAAAUCACACCGAAUGCGAGUGUCGCGAAAGGAAGGACUUUUCCAAUAUGAGUGACCGACUGACGGAUCAUAGAACCGCAAGGCAUUUCCCGUCAUCCACGGCGCCGCAAAAUAUCGUCAGGCCUCCUACCCGCAAGCCAUGUCGUUGCCCCACGCAAUUUACGCCAAAAAUCACGAUUGACGGAGUAUGCGAGUGCAGUUGCAUCGAGCACGAUCAAGAUUGUUUGAAACUACAACGGGGCAAAGGCUACUUAUCACUAAGAGACAGAAUAUGCAUACAAAACGACCAGUGCACAUCGCCGAAUUGCACAUUCGGCGAGUUUAUCACGGCACAAGGCAGGUGCCCGAAGAAGAAGGACAUCUUCGAAGCAAACGCGAAUCAUCGCUCGAGCUUCAAUUAUCAUCAUCGGCGAAGCUAAAAAGCAAACAAAAAGCAAACGGAGCCGUUAUUAUGAUGAAAGUUGUGCGAGACGCUCGCCACGCGUGCGAACGGACGGUGCCAUUUAAUUCUUCUUUUUUACUCCUGCUUAUCGUUUUCAUUUUUCUGCGCGUGCCCCCAUCGCCUGGAGAAAUGGAGAAAAAGGAGAAUCGAGAGAAAGCUCUUGAGAACAAUGGACUUGGGCUCUUCUUAGUCCAAGUCGGGGACGCGUGUAAAUCGGUGAUGCAAGAUCGACGGCGAACGCGUGGUAUUUUUUACCGCUUAAAUUAUAUAAAAGAAGAAGAAGAAGAAGAAGAAGAAGAAGAAGAAGAA